ensembl:lncRNA LINC02384 long intergenic non-protein coding RNA 2384
CCUGCCUUUCCAAUACCUAUUCAGGAGCAAAAACCAUGAUAAACUCCCUUUGCAUCUUUUGUAAGAGAGCUAGACAAACGCCGGAGAGUUUCUCUGCAGUUGUGUGACCUUGGGUAGUUUCUUCAACUACAGAAAGAGAGUUGAGCAGAUGCUCCGGCUGCCACUCCAUCAUAUAUUGGAAACAGCAUUACUUUAUAGUAAAUCAUGACCACGGUGUAUGGCAAUGAAGUUGCAUCUGAAGCAGCCGGCACCCUAUGUGCUAGCUGGCUUUUAGACCAGGAGACUGUGAAUCUGUGGUCAGGAUCUCUUUAGGGCUGCUAAAUAUAUACUACCCACUAUCACUCGCUGGAGCUGCAGACCCUAGUUUUAGAGUUUCACUUCUUAAAGACCUUCAUCCUUAUUAAAAUGGUAAUAUCC